GGAUGGUUACAAGAGGCUACCCAAGUCCGAACACUUUCACUAUGGCUUUUGUACUCAAAGCGUGCUCAGCUAUAAUGGCGAUUGAAGAGGGUCAGCAAGUCCAUGCUCGUAUUUUACGAUCUGGGUUUACGUUAAACCCUUAUGUGCAAUCUUCAUUGGUCAAUUUUUACGCCAAGUGUGAGGAAAUAAAGCUUGCUAGAAAGAUGUUUGAUGAAAUUACCGAGAGGAAUUUGGUUUCCUGGAGUGCAAUGAUAACUGGGUAUGCAAGGGUGGGAAUGGUCAAUGAGGCUUUGAGUAUGUUUAGGCAAAUGCAGG
rnacentral:misc_RNA from 1 species